rnacentral:lncRNA from 10 species
AUCAGAGAGAAAUAAGGACUUAUGACCAUUAGACCAGGAGACAGGAAGCGAUGGUUCUGGAAGGGGCUCUGUUACUAACUUUGGAAUUCAACUGUCCAGAUAGAAAGGUGGACAUGGAAAAAUUGGGCUUUGCAAAUGGUCACCCAAUUCUUGCCUUCCUGGUCUCCAGAUCACCCUUCCUAUACCGCCACUCUGGAGAAAGAAGUACAGAACGCUAACAAGCUAGAUACAGAGGACCUAACAUACAACUCAGAGUCCCUAGAAGAUGGAGAAAACACAGACAAUUGGCAGAGGAGAUGAGCAUGUGAUUAUUGUUACCACUUGUCUGGAAGCAACCAGAAUGGAGUGGGGAAGACUCAAGGAGGAGAUCUUCACAGGACUCACCUCUCAUCACAGCUCCCGUGUGGUUGUAAUCACCCCAGAGGGAAAAAUAAUUUCGGUUUUUUAUGGUUUAAUUAUUGGUGAUAGCAGCUGUUUUGAAGACACAAACACAGAAGCAAGUUCUAGAACAUACUCACAGUUUCCUUGGUCACAGUGUUGUCAGUGGUUCUAUAAAGGUCUUAUGAAUCUCUACUUAGUUGACCACAAGUAGUAAGCAAGAAACAAUCCUGUAAAGAGAAUGGAGGUCAGAAUAAAGAAGCCUUGAGGGUUUAAAUCGCUUCUUGAAAAGAAAUGCCCGUGUGUCAAGGAGCUAAGGGAGACCAGCCCAGGAGGAGCUGAAUCCUGCCAACAAUCACUUGAGUGAACUUGAGAGUGAAUCCUCUCCAUGUUAAGCCUUGAGUGAAAGCGGAAUACCUGGUUAUCCGGAGGUCACUGUCUCCACACAGAGUGGUGUCCUUGAUGCUAGCUUGGGGCAAAGAAGCCAGGCAAUCAAGGCUUUAAAUGCGUGGAUUUAUCAUCACCUCAAAUCGCCUGUCACUGUGAUGGAACAAAAAUAGAAAGUUGGGCUAAUAUCUUCCUGCUAGCAUGUUUCCAUCUGUGAGUUUGAUCAAAGCAACUUUAUCUGCGAAAUUUUGAAGAAUCAGCUUCAUCUCCACUUGGCAGCAUGUGGUAAAUGAAGGUAUUUCUGGAAAUCCCAUCUUCCCAGAAUUCAGCUAGGAUCCAGAAGUGAUGCUGUUACGUGACGUCUUCAACCUCCCUCCCUCUGCCCAUCUCAGGGACCUCUCCAGAAGCCAGUCCCAAGAGUGGCAUUGGUUAGCAUAUCUCAAAUACAGUGGGAGAAGCCUCUUAGCUCAGCUCCAGUUAUUUCUCUAUUGUAGAAAACCAAGAGAGAGAUGAAUAAGGAAUGAAAACAUACUCCACAUGGACUCAAUAAAUCUUGGGUGAAAUGAUGCUGUCUGACAAGGUAAAUAAAAAAUGCAGCACUCAAGCACCAGCACUGGGGAUGAGAUGAGGACACACCAAUUACCAGCACUUCUGCCUGCUUUGCUUUGUUGACA